rnacentral:lncRNA from 1 species
UGAACAAGGAGAGGAACCAACUUUGGCGGAAGUCGUGACAGCCGUAUACAUGCAAGAAGAAGGAAGUGUGUGUCAUUGUGCAUGUACUCAGCCAGUUGGAAGGAAGAAUUCAGCCCACACCACCUCCAUCUCGGAACCAUUCCAGAAUCUUGUUCUGAUUUGGAUUUCUACUCAAUCUCCUGGUUUGGAUGUUCACUCUGUACCGGUUUGGCUCAUCGAAUCCCAUCGCCUUUGUUGGAUGAUUCAGAAGCUGAGGUAAGAGUGAUUCUUUAUGUGUUACUAACAGAUCAUUUUAAAGCUAUGGAGAAUGACCGAGAGAACGCUAA